AAGUCGUAACAAGGUCUCCGUUGGUGAACCAGCGGAGGGAUCAUUACAGAGUUUAACCACUCAAAACCAUUGUGAACCUUACCUCAACCGUUGCUUCGGCGGGCGGGCCCCAAAAGCCCCCCCGGCCCCUCGCGGGCGCCCGCCGGAGGUUAACCGAACCCUUGAAUUGUAUGGCCUCUCUGAGUCUUCUGUACUGAAUAAGUCAAAACUUUCAACAACGGAUCUCUUGGUUCUGGCAUCGAUGAAGAACGCAGCGAAAUGCGAUAAGUAAUGUGAAUUGCAGAAUUCAGUGAAUCAUCGAAUCUUUGAACGCACAUUGCGCCCGCCAGUAUUCUGGCGGGCAUGCCUGUCCGAGCGUCAUUUCAACCAUCAAGCCCCGGGCUUGUGUUGGGGCCCUGCGGCUGCCGCAGGCCCUGAAAACCAGUGGCGGGCUCGCUAGUCACUCCGAGCGUAGUAGUUUACACCUCGCUCAGGGCGUGCUGCGGGUUCCGGCCGUUAAAAGCCUUAUUUUACCCAAGGUUGACCUCGGAUCAGGUAGGAAGACCCGCUGAACUUAA
rnacentral:rRNA from 1 species